rnacentral:rRNA from 1 species
AGCGAACGCUGGCGGCAUGCUUAACACAUGCGAGUCGCACGGGCAGCAAUGUCAGUGGCGGACGGGUGAGUAACGCGUAGGAACGUGUCCUGAGGUGGGGGACAACCCCGGGAAACUGGGGCUAAUACCGCAUAUGGGCUGAGGCCCAAAGCCGAGAGGCGCCUUUGGAGCGGCCUGCGUCCGAUUAGGUAGUUGGUGGGGUAAAGGCCUACCAAGCCUGCGAUCGGUAGCUGGUCUGAGAGGACGACCAGCCACACUGGGACUGAGACACGGCCCAGACUCCUACGGGAGGCAGCAGUGGGGAAUAUUGGACAAUGGGCGAAAGCCUGAUCCAGCAAUGCCGCGUGGGUGAAGAAGGUCUUCGGAUCGUAAAGCCCUUUCGACGGGGACGAUGAUGACGGUACCCGGAGAAGAAGCCCCGGCUAACUUCGUG